rnacentral:rRNA from 1 species
CACGUAGGGCGCAAGCGUUGUCCGGAAUUAUUGGGCGUAAAGAGCUCGUAGGCGGUCCGUCACGUCCGCUGUGAAAACCCAGGGCUCAACCCUGGGCUUGCAGUGGAUACGGGCAGACUAGAGGUAGGUAGGGGAGAAUGGAAUUCCCGGUGUAGCGGUGGAAUGCGCAGAUAUCAGGAGGAACACCGGUGGCGAAGGCGGGUCUCUGGGACGGUACUGACGCUGAGACGCGAAGGCGUGGGGAGCGAACAGG